UCCUACGGGGCGCAGCAGUGGGGGAUAUUGGACAAUGAGGGAAACCCUGAUCCAGCGAUGCCGCGUGAGGGAAGAAGGUUUUCGGAUUGUAAACCUCUGUGGAGGGGGACGAUAAUGACGGUACCCCUUUAGGAAGCCACGGCUAACUACGUGCCAGCAGCCGCGGUAAUACGUAGGUGGCGAGCGUUGUCCGGAAUUACUGGGUGUAAAGGGAGCGUAGGCGGUGCAGCAAGUCAGAAGUAAAAGCCCGGGGCUCAACUCCGGGACUGCUUUUGAAACUGUUGAACUAGAUUGCAGGAGAGGUA
rnacentral:rRNA from 1 species